GAAAUUUGAUAUGCUAGAGAACGCUGGCGGCGUGCCUAAUACAUGCAAGUCGAACGCUUCUUUCCUCCCGAGUGCUUGCACUCAAUUGGAAAGAGGAGUGGCGGACGGGUGAGUAACACGUGGGUAACCUACCCAUCAGAGGGGGAUAACACUUGGAAACAGGUGCUAAUACCGCAUAACAGUUUAUGCCGCAUGGCAUAAGAGUGAAAGGCGCUUUCGGGUGUCGCUGAUGGAUGGACCCGCGGUGCAUUAGCUAGUUGGUGAGGUAACGGCUCACCAAGGCCACGAUGCAUAGCCGACCUGAGAGGGUGAUCGGCCACACUGGGACUGAGACACGGCCCAGACUCCUACGGGAGGCAGCAGUAGGGAAUCUUCGGCAAUGGACGAAAGUCUGACCGAGCAACGCCGCGUGAGUGAAGAAGGUUUUCGGAUCGUAAAACUCUGUUGUUAGAGAAGAACAAGGACGUUAGUAACUGAACGUCCCCUGACGGUAUCUAACCAGAAAGCCACGGCUAACUACGUGCCAGCCGCCGCGGUAAUUGCGA
rnacentral:rRNA from 1 species